rnacentral:rRNA from 1 species
UGAUGUUAGCGGCGGAGGGGUGAGUAACACGCUGGGUAACCUGCCUGUAAGACUGGGAUAACUCCGAGGAAACCGGGUCUAAUACCGGAUGGUUGUUUGAACCGCAAGGUUCAAACAUAAAAGGUGGCUUCGGCUACCACUUACAGAUGAGCCCACGGCGCAUUAGCUGGUUGUGUGAUGUGACGGCUCACCGAGGCAACGAUACCUAGCCGACGUGACAGGGUGAUCGGCCAGUCUGAGACUGAGACGCGGCCCAUACUCCUACUAGAGGAAGCACUAGUGCAAUCUUCCCCAAGGGAGAAAAAUGUCACGGAACAACCCCCCGAGGGUAGUGGAAGUUUUCCGAUCUUAAAGCUCUGUUGUGAAGGAAGAACAAAUAUCCCUUCGAAUAGGGCGGUACCUUGGCGGUACCUAACCAGAAAGCCACGGCUAACUACGUGCCAGCAGCCGCGGUAAUACGUAGGUGGCAAGCGUUGUCCGGAAUUAUUGGGCGUAAAGGGCUCGCAGGCGGUUUCUUAAGUCUGAUGUGAAAGCCCCCGGCUCACCCGGGGAGGGUCAUUGAGAACUGGGGAACUUGAGUGCAGAAGAGGAGAGUUGAAUUUCCCGUGUAGCGGU